AAGACAGGACCCCUUUCCUCCCCCCAGAUCUGUAGGAAGAAGAGGAACAGCCUGCUCCACAGAGAGGUAUAGGCACAAACAGCCCCAAGGACUCCCCCUCCCCUUACAUUCAGGAAAAGUCCCUUCCCCACGCAGCUCAGCCUUUGUUCCCGAGUCUCAUGGCCACAGGACCUAAACUCCCAGCUGGAGCUCCAGCUGCUCUUUAUCACCAAGAGCAAUGGAGGCCGACCCUAAGCACAGUUGUGAGAAGGGAGGUUGGUCUUUGGCGCGCAGGCUCCUGGGAUAGAGACUGAUUAGAAUCCUGCCUGUUGCAUUCACUGUGGUAUCCAGAGGAAAGACUACUGACAUGUGGCCAGUAGUC
rnacentral:lncRNA from 1 species